rnacentral:rRNA from 1 species
UACGAUUUCUUCGGAAUGACGGUCUUGUGACUGAGUGGCGGACGGGUGAGUAACGCGUGGGUAACCUACCUCACACAGGGGAAUAACAGUUAGAAAUGACUGCUAAUACCGCAUAAGCGCACGGUACCGCAUGGUACAGGGGUCAAAGAAUUAUCGGUACAGGAUGGACUCGCGUCCCAUUAGCUAGUUGGCGGGAUAACAGCCCACCAAGGCGACGAUGGGUAGCCGACCUGAGAGGGUGAUCGGCCACACUGGGACUGAGACACGGUCCAGACUCC